UAAAAACCCCGACUUCGGAAGGGGUGUAUUUAUUAGAUACAAAACCAAUGCCCUUCGGGGCUCUUUGGUGAUUCAUGAUAACUAUACGAAUCGCACGGCCUUGCGCCGGCGAUGGUUCAUUCAAAUUUCUUCCCUAUCAACUUUCGAUGUUUGGGUAUUGGCCAAACAUGGUUGCAACGGGUAACGGAGGGUUAGGGCUCGACCCCGGAGAAGGAGCCUGAGAAACGGCUACUACAUCCAAGGAAGGCAGCAGGCGCGCAAAUUACCCAAUCCCGACUCGGGGAGGUAGUGACAAUAAAUACUGAUACAGGGCCCUUUCGGGCCUUGUAAUUGGAAUGAGUACAAUUUAAAUCCCUUAACGAGGAACAAUUGGAGGGCAAGUCUGGUGCCAGCAGCCGCGGUAAUUCCAGCUCCAAUAGCGUAUAUUAAAGUUGUUGUGGUUAAAAAGCUCGUAGUUGAACCUUGGGCCUGGCUGGCCGGUCCGCCUCACCGCGUGCACUGGUCCGGCCGGGCCUUUCCCCUCUGUGGAACCCCAUACCCUUCACUGGGCGUGGCGGGGAAACAGGACAUUUACUU
rnacentral:rRNA from 1 species